ensembl:lncRNA
GAGUAAUAAAGACCUUUUCUCCUCUCCUGAGUUAAAAUAAUGUUGUUCUGGAUAUAAUCAUCUAAUUAAGACAAGAGGCUGCUCUUGGGAAGGCUGAGGAUCGCAUUUCAAAGGGUCAUGUCUGCCAGCCUCCACACUGAUGGCCCCUCUGUGACGG